CAGACAUUGUAUUGGGAAGUGAUUUAAGUGGAAGAAGGGAAAUGACUUUAUGAAUUCUUCAGGAGAGAAUUGAUGGUGAGACUGGAUUAUAAUAAAACACACUAGCAAUACUGGUCUCUCAAACCCAAAAGGAAGAGUAUGCUUUUUACAAAUUGUAAUUAUUGAGAGCUUUCUUCAAGAAAGUUAAAUGUAAAAAAUCUAUUCCAUAAUGAAGUUAAAGCAGGUAGGAAUCUGAGAAACCAUGUUGAUACUGUGAGUGAAUACUUACUAGUCUUAUCUCAAAGAAUAAUCAUAAUUAAGCUCAUCAAGUUUUUGAGUAUGACUAAUAAAUUAUAAUAUUCAAUUUCUAGGUAGAUUUAUAUAGUUUAAUCUUUCCUGAUGUUUGAUUUUUCUUUCACUUGAAAUGUUUAUACCCCUCGACCAGGAAUAAAAUCUCAAGAAAAAAAAAAACCUUUGAAUUCAUUAGGUAGGUUGUGAAAAUUUGUUUUCUCACAGGCAAUAGAGAGUCUAGCAUUGUAUCCUUUUGUUGCUGGAGUAAACUGGAAAUGCCUGUCUGUGAGGACUCCCAGGUUCAGGCUGAAUAAACUAUUCCUCUUUUUUCUUCUUUUUUGUUUUAGCAAACUUCUGACAACAAAGCAGACAGCAUUUGGUGAUGGCGAACAUCACAGUGGCCACACAGGCCAGCAGGAACCC
rnacentral:lncRNA from 1 species